CGGUCAUCUGACCAAUGGUGCGAGCUUUCGUGACUCACGUGACCGUUUUUCUCUUGUCUUUCUGCACGGGCAGAACAGACUUCAAUCUGGAGACGCAGACAGAAGCCGAAACUACAGCCACGGGAUAUCUAAAGUGCACAAGUGGUCGACUCUAAAUACUUAUCAUUGUACAUGAAACCGUGAAUAUAUCAUAUUUUAAACUUUGUCUCUCGAAUGGACUUUUAACAUUUGCCGCGGUACAUUUGUAAAAUCUUGCGCUCAACGCCUAGGCGUAAAACCUACCUUGAAAAGAUAAAUUAUUUGCAGAGACGAGUGAACGGGCAGUGUGGGGAUUGGUCCGAGGUGUGAUCUCCCACCCUCUUGCUCAAACCUGUAUGAAUUGCCAGAAACGGCUGGAUCCCCCAUCUCCACACCGCCAGGCGCAGGCCUGAAGAACGGAAGAGAUCCUACGUGGAGAUGCGCCAAGCGGACGCCAGGGGAUAAACAGAACCAUCAGAUCUUUCUCCUAAGUCUGGAUGAUCAGCUCUAGAAAAUGUGUAGCGCUGGCAACGGAGAUGUUGAAGUGGACAUGAUGACCCUCCCGAAAGGAAUUCACAAUCCAGCCAAAAGCUGCUUGUAGUAGCGUCAGAGUAACGGCUAGCAUCCCACGAAUCAGUAGAACAAUUUCUAACUAAUUUCCAUAGUUAUUAAUGCAGAAAGCGUCUUAUAUUGUAUAUUCAUAAGAAUCCAUGAACGUUUUCUAUUUUCUGUUCAUAUGAACAGACUGUUCACAUUGUAGAUACAAUCAGUUUGAAUAUUCCGUUUAAAAACAAAUUGGAUGCACUAUGACUGUCAUAAAUGAUGCCCUUUAUAUAUUCAUCUACACUAUUUCCAUCCCUGUUUAAAAACCUUAGUACUUGUCCAUACUAUGUCAGCAGCACUACUAGAAAAUCCAUAAAUCCUGAUGUUUCUGACAUGCUCGAUUCCCUAAGUGCCUUUUGGAAAACUGAAAUUGCCUGUGAUGUUUUUCCCUAGUAUUUAAUCACCCCGCUGUGCUUUACAUCAUAAAUGCCAUUGCGUUUCCACGUAAUCAGAUCUUAUGUUAAACUGGUUCUCCUUGGACAUUUAUGCUGCUGAUUACACAAUCAAGAUUGGGCUCAAGUGAAAGCCGAGAGGAGUAAAUGGAACUCGGAUGAAGCUCGAUGACCGCCAUGACCGCGCCCUACUUUGAACAUUAAAUUCAUUAUGCGUCCUUCUGCGCCCACCCCCCCUGGUCCACGUUGGUUCCUUGAGCAGACGUCCGAUCUGUUUUUAGCCAGGCAAUGUUUGCUUCAGUGAACAUUCAACGCUGUCGGUGAGUUUGAGACAAAUCGAGAAAACCAUCGACCGUUGACUGUACCCUGCGGCCAGCCCUCAGCUGACCACCGACUCUCGGCAAGGAGACUACUUGAGUAGACAGAUACUAACAAGAGCGCCAAAUUUGUGCAACCCCCCCCCCCCCCCCUCCUUCAGGCCCCAACCGUCCAACACCCCUCCCUGCUUUGUUCCCCUCGUGCAACAUUCAGCAAAGGUCACAAUCAACAUUCAUUGCUGUCGGUGGGUUUAACUGUGUGGAAAAGCUCACUGAACAAUGAAUGCCACUGUGUCCCAGAUUUCCUCUGCCAACGUCGGAGAAAAUAUUAGCAACGGAUGCGCGGCCUCGUUGUUUUCUGUUGUUUCUGUGGUGUUGCCCUCACCCGCUUAAUUUCCUCAGAUUGCAAUCUCCACGGGGGAGGAAAGGCGCAAGCUGACCCGGCGGAUGGGGUCGGCCCGCAUCAUCGUCAACGUCGCCGGAUUGGGGUCCGGGAGCGGAGGGAAGGAAGUGUAACAUGAAUGCGUAAUCAGCUGAAGGCUUUUCGCUGCCUCUCGUUAAGUUUGUCCCUUUCAUUUAACGAUAUGCGGCUCUCCCUUAAGGUCAGUGUGGGUUCUGGGUCGCUGUGUUGAACAUAGUGUCCUAUACUGUUUCUUUUUUUCCCCCCUUUUUUUGCUACCUUUUUGGACGGAUGUAAAAUACAACAUAAUCUGUCUGGGCAGUAUGGCUGAAGAUGUAAAUGCAGGCAAGACAUGACUGAGCUUGCACACCACUGGAAAAUUGGAAAAUCCUGUCAUUUUGCGUCAGUUUUAAGCUUUGCGUAAUUCUUGCAUUAAACAAAUUCACAAGUGCAAUA